UUUAAAUGGCCGCAGUAUACUAACUGUGCAAAGGUAGCAUAAUCAUUAGUCUUUUAAUUGAAGGCUGGUAUGAAUGGUUGGACGAAAUAUUAACUGUUUCAUAAAAAUUUACAUUAAAAUUUUAUUUUUUAGUUAAAAAGCUAAAAUUUAUUUAAAAGACGAGAAGACCCUAUAAAUCUUUAUAUUUAAUUUAUUAUAAUUAAAUAGAUUAUUUUUAUUAUAAUAAUAAAUAAUAUUUUAUUGGGGUGAUAUUAAAAUUUAAUAAACUUUUAAUUAUUUAAAUCAUUAAUUUAUGAUUAAUUGAUCCGUUAUUAACGAUUAAAAAAAUAAGUUACUUUAGGGAUAACAGCGUAAUUUUUUUGGAGAGUUCAUAUUGAUAAAAAAGAUUGCGACCUCGAUGUUGGAUUAAGGUAUAGCUUUAGGUGUAGCCGCU
rnacentral:rRNA from 1 species